AUUGCCAUUACACUGUGCAGUGCAGCAGCUGUCAGUCGACAUUACUGAUCGGCAGCCGCGUCGGCCAAAGAGCCUGUGGCUAAACAGCUCGAAAGAUGGAUGACUAUGUGCAAGAGAGCAAGCGAUAUAUAUAGAUGCGCCGGUAACACUGAAGAGCAAGUGAGAUGACGCACAACGGGCUGAGUUAAGUGUGACGAAUUGCGUUAUUAUCUUUCUUUAUGUUAGCCAGAAGCAACAACAACGACAGUGUAGUUGGCGCUGAGCCAUGUUACUUUUUUCGCCAUUGUCCUUUUUCACGCAACUUUAUUUCACACAUAAAUUUCCGAGCGAACUGGCGUCAAAAAUAUUCAGCAGAAGGCGUCGACGUUGACAGUGCCGUUCGCUUCUCUGUAAAUUUUGAAUGGUGGUUAGUUGCAGUUGGAGACUGUUUCCGAUAGUCGAGUCGAUGGGGUGAUAUCAUGUAGAAUUUAUUUCGAAUUCAGCAGGAGCGGGGCUAAGCACUUGUAGUGAAGAAGGUUCUCUCACGAAUUACAGAAGCAGAUGUUCCUGUUAUCCAUUCAGCAGCAAAAACACUCCAGGCCAUACAUACAUAUAUGCAUGCAAGUGCUACCGUGCCACGCGCAACACAUCAGAUGCAACUACAAUGAAGCUAGCGCCAAUAACAACAACGAAACCGUAAUGCAGUUGUUUGUUUUAUUUAUUGACUCGCCUGAUCAAACUGACUGAUUGCUAUUAAACAUGCACGAUUAA